AAACAGUUCCCAGCAUGUGUAUCUACCUGGUCUGUUCAGGUGUGAAGGAAACACUUCCCAGCAUGUGUACCUACCUGGUCUGUUCAGGUGUGAGGGAAACACUUCCCAGUAUGUGUAUCUACCUGGUCUGUUCAGGUGUGAGGGAAACACUUCCCAGCAUGUGUAUCUACCUGGUCUGUUCAGGUGUGAGGGAAACACUUCCCAGCAUGUGUAUCUACCUGGUCU